rnacentral:rRNA from 1 species
CUUGUGGCCAGUGCAGUACCGCAGAGAAGUCGUUAAGUCUGCCGCCUGGGAAGUACGUACGCAAGUAUGAAACUUAAAGGAAUUGGCGGGGGAGCACCACAAGGGGUGAAGCCUGCGGUUCAAUUGGAGUCAACGCCAGAAAUCUUACCCGGGGAGACAGCAGAAUGAAGGUCAAGCUGAAGACUUUACCAGACAAGCUGAGAGGUGGUGCAUGGCCGUCGCCAGCUCGUGCCGUGAGAUGUCCUGUUAAGUCAGGUAACGAGCGAGACCCUUGCCUCUAGUUGCCACCAUUACUCUCCGGAGUAGUGGGGCGAAUUAGCGGGACCGCCGUAGUUAAUACGGAGGAAGGAAGGGGCCACGGCAGGUCAGUAUGCCCCGAAACUCUGGGGCCACACGCGGGCUGCAAUGGUAACGACAAUGGGUUUCGAAUCCGAAAGGAUGAGGUAAUCCUCAAACGUUACCACAGUUAUGACUGAGGGCUGCAACUCGCCCUCACGAAUAUGGAAUCCCUAGUAACUGCGUGUCAUUAUCGCGCGGUGAAUACGUCCCUGCUCCUUGCACACACCGCCCGUCGUUUCAUUGAAGUGAGCUUUUAGCGAGGUGACGUCUGAUUGGCGUUAUCGAACUUGAGGUUCGUGACAAGGGAAAAGUCGUAACAAGGUGACCGUAGGGGAACCUGCGGUUG